rnacentral:rRNA from 1 species
UGGCGGACGGGUGAGUAACGCGUCGGGCAACCUGCCUUACACACGGGGGAUAACACUUAGAAAUAGGUGCUUAAAAACCGCAUAAGCGCACAGCUUCGCAUGAAGCGGUGUGUAAAAACUCCGGUGGUGUAAGAUGGAACCCGCGUCUGAUUAGCUUGUUGGCGGGGUAACGCCCACCAAGGCGACGAUCAGUAGCCGGCCUGAGAGGGCGGACGGCCACAUUGGGACUGAGACACGGCCCAGACUCCUACGGAAGGCAGCAG